CAAACCAAGGCUGGCGACCGGCGCACGGGUGAGUAACACGUAUCCAACCUGCCUCAUACUCGGGGAUAGCCUUUCGAAAGAAAGAUUAAUAUCCGAUAGCAUAUAUUUCCCGCGUGGGUUUUAUAUUAAAGAAAUUCGGUAUGAGAUGGGGAUGCGUUCCAUUAGUUUGUUGGGGGGUAACGGCCCACCAAGACUACGAUGGAUAGGGGUUCUGAGAGGAAGGUCCCCCACAUUGGAACUGAGACACGGUCCAA
rnacentral:rRNA from 1 species